ACAAAUAUUUAAUAUGAUCAAGACUUGGAGGAUGGAAGGGCCGUGGUGUUCACAAGGAAGUUAAAGAAGCUGAUUUGACAAAAGCAAAUGACCCAGGGAUGGCUACUUUGAAAGAAUGGUAAUGAUCCAGAAAACUAGCAUCUGCCUCCAUGAACGACUUUGCUGGCCAUUUACUCAUCUUAAUUAUGCUAUGAAGAGAACUGUGCUGAGCAAGUUUCCUAUUGAAAAAUUUUGAUGAAAGAUAUGAACAAGCAAGGUAAGGGUUCAGAUCAGUGACUUGGCUUUGCUGAUAACUGAAGGGUGUGGCCCAGGCCUCAGUAUUCCUGCUUCCCACGUCUCAACUGAGCUUUUCUUCCUGCAAACUGGAGGAACUCCAUAUUUGGGAAUGAAAACAGUGAGAGCUCAUUGUACCGUUGGGGUUGCAGUCAACACAUAGAUCUUCUGGGAAGGAAACAUGCUUUGCACAGCUGCAGAAGGCAACAGAGUA